GGAUUUGGAUCUGGGGCCGAGAGGCUGGAGAACCUGGCUAGAGGCACAGUUAAGCUCAGAAGCACCUUUCUGAGCACCAUGAAAGCACCAUGUGUUGGAAGAAAGACUUUGGAGACGGGGAGCACGGUCCAAGGAUUGGGUUUUAGUUACAUUCAAUCCUUACGAAUCCUGGGGAUGGAUGGCAUGGGAGCCUGCCCAAGUGAGAAGCUGCUCCAGCAGGCCACAGAGCCCACACAGCACCGACAGGCUGCCUGCGCUUCCUGGCCUCCUCUGGCACUGCAGCCACAGCCACGCUCCUGCCAGCAUCCAUGUAUGGCAGCCGUGAACACCUGUCUGAGCACUGAGCUGCCUCUCUGGCAAUGCUCACGGCUGGCUGAUGAAGGCUGGAAACGUGACAUCACCCAGCUGGCCACCUCAUCACACCAAGUGGCCUUCCUCCAGUCAGCACGCCAAGCACAGGCCUCCACCGCGAGACCAGAACAGACCUAAGAGUGGGGUGGGAAAGGCUUGUUCCACUCACAGACCCUUUCUGCCAGCGGAGGCUAUCCCACAGCCACUUCCUUGGACAAGGCCAGCCACAGCAGGACGACACAGCUCACCACGGCCCAACCAGCAGCCCAGCUGGCUGGCAGAAUAGCUACCAAGCCACUCGUGACCCCGUUCUUGACCUACACAGAGACCACAUCCUGCAGGCCAACCAUGCCCACAACACAGAGAAAGAGACAGCUCAGGGACAGUCAGAGCUCCCUACCCAAGGACUGUCGUUCCAUGAGGAAGCAUGGCUGGACCCUCCUCUUUCCCAGAGCCCAUGCCCACAAUGUCCUCCCACUCCUCUGAUGAGCACCACCUCACCUCCCUCCAUUCCACAUGGCAGGAGCCGUAGGAGCGUUGUCUGUGCACACUCCAGGUUCAACAAGUGGCCUCAGCCCCAAGGAACACAAACAAGCCUGAAGUUCCCAAGUCAGAAGAAACAGCUGUUCUGCAGAAGAAACACACCGCCAAGAGGUUUUGUCAUUAUUCUGAUGCAGCCAAGUGCAAAGCCUAUCACGAAGACAACCUACUGCGACAACUUUCUACCUGGGUUGCAACGUGAGAGUAGUGGGAGUUAAUUAAGU
rnacentral:lncRNA from 1 species